UACAGAGGUCCCAAGCGUUGUUCGGAAUUACUGGGCGUAAAGCGCACGUAGGCGGCUUUGUAAGUUAGAGGUGAAAGCCCGGGGCUCAACCCCGGAAUUGCCUUUAAGACUGCAUCGCUAGAAUUGUGGAGAGGUAAGUGGAAUUCCGAGUGUAGAGGUGAAAUUCGUAGAUAUUCGGAAGAACGCCAGUGGCGAAGGCGACUUACUGGACACAUAUUGACGCUGAGGUGCGAAAGCGUGGGGAGCAAACAGG
rnacentral:rRNA from 1 species